CGAGCAGUUCACGUAGCACCAGGCGGGAGUCCAGCAGCUCCGGUGCUGCAGGAUGAACAAAAGAAGAGAUGUGAAUGCGCUGUGAUAGAAAUGAAGUUCACGGCCAUGGAAACUGUUUGACUGGAAGAUCAAGAAAUCAAGUGAGAGAUCGGACUGCUGGUCCCCUUGGUGCUGAGGUCCCUGCUGCUCUCUUUGCACGUGUGCUGCUGUGAAUUGGGGUACCAUGCAGAGGCCAGAGGUCAUGCCAGGCGGUGAGGAACUGCAGCUCAUGGGAGCGCAGCACUGGGAGAGCUCUUCGGUGUUCUGGAGCAUUGCAUGGGCUUUGCUGGUGCGAGCACGGAGCAUUGCAUGGCCUUUCCUACAGAUUCUUUGCUUAGUUCUAGAAAUGAAGGAAGGUGAAGCUGUUCCUAACAUCCAUUUGCAAGCAUCAGGAGAUACUCUUCACAAAAAGCCAAAAUCUAGGAAUGCUUAUUGGCAUCCACCUCGGACUGAGCGCCGUUUCCCUGCUUGUGUAUUCAGAGCAGCUGUGCUGGAGCCACCCUCGUAAAUCAGUGCAGCUCUGCUGUCUUCCAGCUUGAUUGUUACUGUGAAAUGUGAAAAGAAUGGAAUGGUCUUUCCUUCGCUCCAGACCCAUGAGAGAGGCUGAAAACUCUGCAGAUGUGGU
rnacentral:lncRNA from 1 species